rnacentral:rRNA from 1 species
UAGAGUUUGAUCAUGGCUCAGGAUGACCGUUAGCGGCAGGCUUAAUACAUGCAAGUCGUGGGGCAGCAUGCGUUGCAAUACUUGAUGGCGACCGGCAAACGGGUGAGGAACACGUACACAACCUUCCUUCAAGCGGGGAAUAGCCCAGAGAAAUUUGGAUUAAUACCCCAUAAUAUAUUUGAUAAGGCAUCUUAUUAAUAUUAAAGCUUCGGCACUUGAUGAUGGGUGUGCGGCUGAUUAGAUAGUUGGCGGGGUAACGGCCCACCAAGUCUACGAUCAGUAGCUGAUGUGAGAGCAUGAUCAGCCACACGGGCACUGAGACACGGGCCCGACUCCUACGGGAGGCAGCAGUAAGGAAUAUUGGACAAUGGACGAAAGUCUGAUCCAGCCAUGCCGCGUGAAGGAUUAAGGUCCUCUGGAUUGUAAACUUCUUUUAUAUGGGACGAAAAAAGGGCAUUCUUGUUCACUUGACGGUACCAUAUGAAUAAGCACCGGCUAACUCCGUGCCAGCAGCCGCGGUAAUA